rnacentral:rRNA from 1 species
AUGGGCGGAUACGAGUUCCAGAGGGCGGAGCUAGAUGCACUGGAAGGCGUCCUACGCGAUGCAAGCGCGGAGCCAAUGAGUCUGACGUUGCCGCUUCUCAGGCACAUAACCAAUGAUUUCUCCCCUGAAUCUCAAAUUGGUCAAGAUAAUUCUGCACUGGUUUACCUGGGGGUGCUUCCAAGUGGGUGCCGUGUUGCUGUAAAGAAGUUGCAGCUUCAUCAUUGCUUGGAUGAUGAAAAUGAAGAUGCAUUUUUAAUAGAAUAUAACAAAAUGAAGGAUACAUUUCAAAAUGAAGUUUCUGCUGCAAUGAAGCCUUCUCACAAGAACACAGUGCGACUCAUAGGCUACUGCCAUCACACACAAGAGCAAAUUGUCGAAUACGAAGGAAAACAAGUUUUCGCAGGGGUCCUAGAAAGAUUGAUCUGUACGGAGUAUGUGCCUGACGGAACCCUUUGUGGACAUAUCGAAGGUAUGAUUUCUACGGAAAUGGAUGGGUACGAGUUCCAAAGGGCAGAGCUAGAUGCACUGGAACGCGUCGUACGCGAUACAAGUGCGGAGCCAAUGAGUCUGACGUUGCCGCUUCUCAGGCACAUAACAAAUGAUUUCUCCGAUGAAUCUGAAAUUGGUAAAGGUGGAUUCGCAGUGGUUUACCUGGGGGUGCUUCCAAGUGGGUUACGUAUUGCUGUCAAGAAGCUUAGCGAAACUUAUUUGAAUGAUUGUGCAUUUCAAAAUGAAGUUUUUAUCACAAUGAAGGCCACUCACAAGAACACAGUGCGAUUCAUGGGCUACUGUAUUCAAUCACAAGGUGAACUCGUCGAACACAACGGACAACAUGUUUUCGCACAGCUCGCGGAAAGGUUGAUCUGUGUGGAAUAUGCGCCUAAAGGAACCCUUGAUGCACAUAUCGAUAUUUCAAGAAGAAGAAACUGA